rnacentral:rRNA from 1 species
AUGAAUAAGAGCUUCACUUAUAUGUGCAAACUGAGUUGCAAUAUUUUCAUGCCUUCUACUUCUUGGUACCCGUGCGGCAACGUGGUCGUCAUUCGCGUCCCGCACGAGGGUGUCUGCCAGCGGGACCGUUGCGGCAGGCUGUGCGUGGAGCAGUUCAUGUGGAAGUACCCGGGCAUCAAGGCCGUCAUAGGCGACUGCACGGCGGAGAAUACCCACGAAUGCAUCUGCUCUUUUCUUUGCUAG